GUCUACGGCUGUACCACGCUGAACGCACCAGAUCUUGUCUGAUCUCAGAAGCUAAGCAGGGCCGGGCCUGGUUAGCAAUGGGGUGGGAGGCAGUGAGGUGAACUCCCCGCGAAGCCUACU
rfam:Heterocephalus glaber contig234112, whole genome shotgun sequence.